AGAGGCUCGAUUUUUAAUAAAUUGUAGAACAAAUUUAAUGUUUGAAAGAACAAACAUGCUUGAGGGCAAGCAUGAGCUAAGUAGGGGGAGUUGAUAAACACAUUAAUUUACAUAAUUCUUGUGUCUAAUUUGGUUUAUUUCUGAAUUAAUCCCUGCUUAAUUGGUGUUUUUAUGAUUUAAUCUUGUCAGGGAUGCAAUUGGUCAAAAACGAGCAAAAAGGGGCCAAAUUGAAAGACAAAUCAUUGAGUUGGGGCCAAAUCAUAAAGAUGGGAAGGCCAAGGAUUUAACAUCAAUUUUGGCU
rnacentral:lncRNA from 1 species